GUCGGUAAGAAACUUGAAAAAUUUCGUUUCGUUGUCAUCUUCACAGAGAAAACUACUCCAGUCCCCUGGUGUUCUACUAGAACCAACACCUUUCCGUCUAGCACAAGAACCUUGCUUUUGUCUUGUCACAUCUAGCCUUUAAAUUAUUCAUUUAGUAAACAUCAAAUACAAUGUCUACUCUUGAAUACUUAUCGAUGCAAGAUUUUAUGUAAGGCAGUAUGACAUCAUUUGCAAAAUCAUCAAAUAUUGUUGCCCAACAAGGUGGCCUGGAAUAAACCAUUGUUGCCCCACCAACGAUAAAUGCGUCAGAAUUUGGAUCAGCUAAUCGCAAAAUGUUUCAAGUAUACCCAUUUGCACCGAUUUAAUACCACUGUUUAAAGUGACAUCCUGAGACAAAAAACGGAGGAGCAGUUUGUUUUUAAUGGAUAAAGAAAUAUUCCAAGUCAAUUUGUCUACUGUGACAAGAAAUACAAGUCUAGAAAAGAUAUCGCAAUCACUUUUAAGGUUCUCUAGCUUUGUUUUUG
rnacentral:lncRNA from 1 species